rnacentral:rRNA from 1 species
GAUGAACGCUGGCGGCGUGCCUAAUACAUGCAAGUCGAGCGAACAGAUGAGGAGCUUGCUCCUCUGACGUUAGCGGCGGACGGGUGAGUAACACGUGGAUAACCUACCUAUAAGACUGGGAUAACUUCGGGAAACCGGAGCUAAUACCGGAUAAUAUAUUGAACCGCAUGGUUCAAUAGUGAAAGACGGUUUUGCUGUCACUUAUAGAUGGAUCCGCGCCGCAUUAGCUAGUUGGUAAGGUAACGGCUUACCAAGGCAACGAUGCGUAGCCGACCUGAGAGGGUGAUCGGCCACCCUGGAACUGAGACACGGUCCAGAGUCCUACGGGAGGCAGCAGUAGGGAAUCUUACGCAAUGGGCGGAAGCCUGACGGAACAACGCCGCGUGAGUGAUGAAGGUCUUCGGAUCGUAAAACUCUGUUAUUAGGGAAGAACAAAUGUGGAAGUAACUAUGCACGGCUUGACGGUACCUAAUCAGAAAGCCACGGCUAACUACGUG